GGGGACAUAGCUCAGCGGUCUGAGUGCCUGCAUGGCAAGCACAAGGUCCUGAGUUCGACUCCCAGUACCCCCA
rnacentral:tRNA from 1 species